UCGAGAAUCUUCCGCAAUGGACGAAAGUCUGACGGAGCGACGCCGCGUGGUGGAUGAAGUCCUUAGGGACGUAAACACCUUUUAUGGAGGAGAAAGUUUAUUGAUGUUACUCCAUGAAUAAGGGGCUCCCAAUUCUGUGCCAGCAGGAGCGGUAAUACAGAAGCCUCAAGCGUUACCCGGAUUUAUUGGGCGUAAAGGAUGCGUAGGCGGUUAUAUUAGUCUUGUGUUAAAAUUUCGGGCUCAACCCGGAGGUCGCAUAGGAAACGGUAUAACUAGAAGAAGUGAGAGGUGAACAGAGCUCUCGGUGUAGGAGUGAAAUCCGUUGAUAUCGAGGGGAAUACCAAAUGCGAAGGCAGUUCACUGGCACUUUCUUGACGCUGAGGCAUGAAAGCGUGGGUAGCGAAUCGGAUUAGAUACCCGAGUAGUCCCUGAGCGGGCUGGCAAGGCGCAU
rnacentral:rRNA from 1 species